GUGGGGAAUAUUGGACAAUGGGCGAAAGCCUGAUCCAGCCAUGACGCGUGUGUGAAGAAGGUCUUCGGAUUGUAAAGCACUUUAAGUUGGGAGGAAGGGCAGUAAGUUAAUACCUUGCUGUUUUGACGUUACCAACAGAAUAAGCACCGGCUAACUUCGUGCCAGCAGCCGCGGUAAUACGAAGGGUGCAAGCGUUAAUCGGAAUUACUGGGCGUAAAGCGCGCGUAGGUGGUUCAGCAAGUUGAAGGUGAAAUCCCCGGGCUCAACCUGGGAACUGCCGCCAAAACUACUGAGCUAGAGUACGGUAGAUGGUAGUGGAAUUUCCUGUGUAGCGGUGAAAUGCGUAGAUAUAGGAAGGCACACCAGUGGCGAAGGCGACUACCUGGACUGAUACUGACACUGAGGUGCGAAAGCGUGGGGAGCAAACAGGAUUAGAUACCCGUGUAGUCC
rnacentral:rRNA from 1 species